GUUUUUUCCACAGCGAUAAUGACCAAGACAAUAUGUGUUCCUCUUCUAAAAGAUUAGAUUAGCAGAUUUGCCAUAAUCCUGCUAACGUGGAAACACACACGACAGAAGCUUGUUUGGCAUCUCCAGUCUGCACCAGCUGGACCCCCUCACUGACAACCUGCUUGCCCACAGAGGAGAGGAGUCUGCUGGGGUUGGAGGAUGCUGAAACAUGGGUGCCGCUCCCUAAAACACGCACACAAAUUCAGCCACGCUGCACAAAACACCUGCUGUCGGAGGUUAAGCAGGCAGCUCUUCAGAGGUUCUGUUCCUCCUUAACCCUUCGUUGCCAGACCAAAAUGAGGGGGGCAAGAAUGAGGUGGGCUCAGAGGGGCCUCCUGCUUUUUCAAGAUGGAUCGGUUCUCCUCCUGCUUGCUGGUACAGUAAACGAGCCAUCCAUCCAUUUUCUACCGCUUGUCCCUUUUGAGGUCGCGGGGGGUGCUGGAGCCUAUCUCAGCUGCAUUCGGGCGGAAGGCGAAGUACACCCUGGACAAGGAAAUACUCUUUAAAAGAUGAAUUCAAACUACAAUGAAC